rnacentral:rRNA from 1 species
CAUUAGUGUAUAUUAAAGUUGUUGCGGUUAAAAAGCUCGUAGUUGGAUUUCUGUUGGGUAUCGUGAGGUCUGCUCCUCGAGUACGUAUCUUCAUCGAUCCUGGCAUCCUCGUAACGCUCUGUGGUAUUAAUUUAUUGCUUGGCUUACGACUUUUACUUUGAGGAAAUUAGAGUGUUCACGGCAGGCAUUUGCUUUGAAUAUAUUAGCAUGGAAUAAUAACAUAGGACUUCGGUUUUAUUUUGUUGGUUUCUAAGGCUGAAGUAAUGAUUAAUAGGGACAAUUGGGGGCACUCGUACAAACUCGUCAGAGGUGGAAUUCUUGGAUUGAGUUUUGACGAACUACUGCGAAAGCAUUUGCCAAGGAUGUUUUCAUUGAUCAAGAACGAAAGUUGGGGGAUCGAAGAUGAUUAGAUACC